GAUGAACGCUAGCGGCAGGCCUAACACAUGCAAGUCGAGGGGCAGCACAGAAACAGCAAUGUUUUGGUGGCGACCGGCGGACGGGUGCGUAACGCGUAUGCAACCUACCUUUAACAGGGGGAUAACGGAGAGAAAUUUCCACUAAUACCCCAUAACAUCGAUCAAGGCAUCUUGAUUGGUUGAAAACUCCGGUGGUUAAAGAUGGGCAUGCGUUGUAUUAGGUAGUUGGUGAGGUAAUGGCUCACCAAGCCUACGAUACAUAGGGGGACUGAGAGGUUAGCCGCCCACACGGGUACUGAGACACGGACCAGACGCCUACGGGAGGGAGCAGGGAGGAAUAUUGGGCAAUGGGGGCAACCCUGAACCAGCCAUGCCGCGUGCAGGAAGACGGCUCUAUGAGUUGUAAACUGCUUUUAAACAGGGAUAAAGCACAGUAUGUAUACUGUGUUGAAGGUACUGUAAGAAUAAGGAUCGGCUAACUCCGUGCCAGCCGCCGCAGUAA
rnacentral:rRNA from 1 species